CUAAAACUCGGGGCUCGCCAAGAUGCAACGCAUGUAAUUGCAAACUUGCAACGGCAACGAGUUAAUUCGCAACUAAUUGCUUCUCAGUAUCUACAAGAAAACUUGGAUCUUGUGGAUAUGCUCAUUUGCGGUUAUGACAAAGAGGGUGACGUUGCUUUGACGUAUGGCGCGGUUGCAAGGGAGUGCAUACGCCACCAGACUGUAGCGAAACAUGUGUUGGAAUCUGAUAACAUGAAGAAGUUCUUUGAGUACAUUCAACUACCAAAUUUUGAGAUAGCAUCCGAUGCUGUUGCAACUUUUAAAGAGUUAUUGACAAGACAUAAAUCUACAGUUGCUGAAUUUCUUUCAAAAAAUUAUGACUGGUUCUUCAAAGAUUACAACUCUCAGUUGCUUGAAUCCACCAGUUAUUUCACAAGACGGUACGCUAUUAAGUUAUUGGGGGAUAUGUUAUUGGAUCGCUCGAAUGCUGCUGUAAUGGUUCGGUAUGUGGGUUCAUUGGAUAAUAUGAGGAUCCUCAUGAACCUCCUAAGAGAUUCAAACAAGACAAUUCAAUUUGACACCUUCCACGUUUUCAAGCUAUUUGUUGCAAAUCAAAAUAAGCCCCCUGAAGUUGUGAGCAUCCUUGUCACAAACAAACACAAGCUUUUGCAAUUUUUGGAAAACUUCAAUUGCGACAAAGCGGACGACCAU
rnacentral:sRNA from 1 species